rnacentral:lncRNA from 10 species
AAACACAGGAAAAGGAAACAAGAACAGGAAGAAGAACAAAAACCAAGAAGAGAGAAAUGCAUUUCAUAGGGAAUGGCAAGUGGACAGGCAACAGUGGUCAGAUAUCCAUGUUCAAGAGGAAAUGUUUGUUCAAGGCAAAAAAUUAUUUCUCAGUAACCAUCAUAGCUAACAUUUAUAAGGUGCCAAUCUUUAUUCAAAGCACUUAAACUUUAUUAACUCAUUUAACUUCACAACAACCCUAUAAGGUAGACAGAGUCUCACUCCAUCACCCAGGCUGGAGUGCAGUGGCGCAAUCUCGGCUCAUCACUCCGUCGCCCAGGCUGGAAUGCAGUGGCGCAAUCUCGGCUCACUACAACCUCUGCCUCCCAAGUUCAAGUGAUUCUCAUGCUUCAGCCUCCUGAUCAGCUGGGACUACAGGAGUGCACCACCAUGCCCAGCUAAUUUUUGUAUUUUUUGGUAGAGACGGAGUUUCACCAUGUUGGCCAGGCUGGUCUCAAACUUCUGGCUUCAAGUGAUACCCCCCAACCUCGGCCUCCCAAAGUGCUAGAAUUACAGGUGUGAGUCCCCACCACCACAUCUGGCCUAGGACUCUGUUUUUUUUUUUAGACAAAGGUAUUUCUCAUCUCUAAAAUGGGGAUGACAAUAGUAACUACCUCAUUGGGUUGUUUUAAGAAUUACAUGACUUAAUGUAUGUCCAAUUCUUAGAACAGUGAUGCUUAGGAUAUAGUAAAUGAUAACAUAGAUGAGGAAAUUGAGAGGCAGGGAAGCUGACUGGUCCAAGGUCCUGCAGCUAAACAAUGGCAGGGCAGAGAGCACAGCGCGGAUUCACCCCACUGGUUUAAUACUCUGUUUCAAACCAUCGAUGAAUGCAGGCUCUUGUUGACGUGGGCAUUACUCUGCCCCUCACCGGGAUGUUACUGCCAUUCUGUUGCUAAAUCACCAGGAUGAGGUUAGGAACCUUCUCCAGGCCUCAGGCUCCUGCUCUGCAAACUGAAGGAACUAGAGGUGUGGUUAAGGUGCCUGAACCCCCUUUUAGGAGAAAUCCCAGCAGAAGAUGCCUAAGCAAGCCUUGCAGGAAGUCAUCUAGGCCACCUUCAAGUCAGUGCCAACCGCAGAAUCUUUAGAUCCCCCAAAAGAGCACCUGUCCCUUUGUGGUGCUUCUGACAGAGAACCCCAAGCAGCCCUAGACCUCCCUCAACCUGACUCAGGGGUGCCCACCACUCCCCAUCCUCCCUGACACACAUAAUCCUGGCUGAGGCAGCCCAAAUAGCAGCUUCCCCGGAUUACUCACCGUGGCUCUGUGAGAAGAAUGCCUCUCCCAGGCAGCGUCCGCAGUUGUGACCACAGAUGGGAGACUAGCCUAAUUGGACUUACCAGCAGCUCACCUUGGCUUCCUCAAGGCCCAGCAGCAGGACAGGGCCUUUCUCUGAGCAGAACUUGAAUGAUAAAAGAAGCAGGUGAAGCUGAUCCAGCCUCAGACAGACCUCCAGUGGGCCCUUGAGGGUGUGAGAGGCAGCUCUGCGGGCCCACCCUAGAACUGCGUGUGGACAGCUAGAAAGCCUAGCCUUUCUGACAUUGCUGGCCUAAGAGGUUUCAUCUUUAGGGUUUUUUUCCUUCUCAGGCUGCUAGCUUCCAUCUCACUUAAUACAGAAGGAUGGUCUCAAUUUAAGCAUCUGAAACAAAUUACUUAGCAAAAACCAUUUUCGUUGUAUCCAAACCCAGUGUCUUCAGUUUGAGCUCUCUGAAAUUCCAAACACAUGUUCAAACCACCAGGAAAGAGGGAAAGAGAGACUGAGAAGAGGGGGACUGAAGCAGGGAAGUCACUAUGAGAUUCUCCCCAAAAUCCCGAUGUUCAGCCUCUGGGUGAAGGACAUUCCAUCCUGAGACGGAGGGAUUGCUCUCUUCACCAGCACCUUUCUGAAGUGUCUGUGUUAGAGGCAGUUCAGUGCUCACACAGCAGCCUGAAAUUCUUAGUCCUCCCACACAUCUCCAGUCAAGGAGCACUGUCCAUGCCCCUUCAUUGUCCAUAAACACCCAAGCUCUUAUUUAGAAGCAAUUGAUUUCUCAAAUCUUUUCCUAUGUAUUUAUUCACUAAACCUGUCAAGCAACACAUUUAAGCAUGACAGAGAAAGAAUAUGGGCAUGUGUUAGGAUUCCCUAGAGAAACAGAACCAAUAGGGUGAGUAUAUGGAGAGGAGAGGUUUAGUUUAAGGAAGUACCUCAUGCAGUUACGGAGGCUGGCAAGUCCAAAAUCUACAGGGUAGGCCAGGCAGGCUGAAGACUCAGAGAAGAGCCUAUACUGCAGUUCCAGUCCAAAAGCUGUCUGCUGCACAGUUCCCUCUUACUC